rnacentral:rRNA from 1 species
UACGUAGGGGCCUAGCGUUGUCCGGAAUUAUUGGGCGUAAAGAGCUCGUAGGUGGUUCGCUAAGUCGGAUGUGAAAACUCGGGGCUCAACCCCGAGACGCCAUCCGAUACUGGCGUGACUUGAGUCUGGUAGGGGAGAUCGGAAUUCCUGGUGUAGCGGUGAAAUGCGCAGAUAUCAGGAGGAACACCGGUGGCGAAGGCGGAUCUCUGGGCCAGUACUGACACUGAGGAGCGAAAGCGUGGGUAGCAAACAGG